AUUUUUUAAUAAGAAAAGAAAAGAAAAAGAAUAGAGGGAGAGAAACUGAAACACGAAGAGAAAGGAAAGAAGAGGAGAGAGAGUUGCAAGGCAGGAAGAGAAGAGGAGAGGCUGAGAGAGACAGAGAAGCAUGCUGAUGGAGAGAAAUGAAAGGGAGCACCAACCCUUAUCCAAACAAAAGAGGAGAAAGAGAAAGGCACCAUUGUAGGGGUUAGAGCCACCAUGAAAAUUGCAAGGUAUAAGAGUUCAUUAUUUGCUAAAACUGAUGAGAGGAUUUUCUCCAUGCCUAGUACACCAGGCAUGGUUGGGAACAUCAAAGUACUUUUUAUAUUCUAUGUUAUUGAGUCUUUGUGCUCACUAUGUUUGGGUGAUAUUUUCACGUUUAGCUCGACAUUGGAAAGUUGAAAAGUAUGUCCGGACUACUCGUCGGCAAUUCAAUGUAGAGCUCCUUUGUUACCGGAUCACAGUCAGGGUCGUAGAUUAGAAGUUGUUUUCUGUUGUGUCAUAUGAUUUUAUAUUUAAUGAAUUUGGUAUAUUUAAAGUUUCACAAGGAUUCAAGUUUUAUAAAAUGUCAUUGUACAUUAAUUUUUAA